rnacentral:piRNA from 1 species
CAAUUUGGUAAACUUAAAGUCAUUGGGGAU